rnacentral:lncRNA from 1 species
CAAGUAUUUCUGUUAGCAGGACUUUCAUUCAUCCACCAAGACUUUAGGGGAAAAAGUUGCUAAAUCAUCCUGAACUUGGACCACAGCAUCAUAAAGUUUGAAAUGUUUUACCUCUGCUAUUUCACUAUUCUUAGUAGCAACUGCCAGCUGAAGGACUCCGGAUUUUAUAAUAAAACUAAUAAAACCGAUUUCUAGUUUAAGUAGUGGCAGAUCACAUAAAAAAAAAAAAGUACUUUUAUCCUGUUCCUAUCCCAAAUUCUUCUCACUUCCUGCUGGUAAUAUAUAUGUAUUUUUAACUUGCAAUUAAGCAUGCCCAUCAGAUGCCAAAAAAUGUCCUCAGCAAAGCACUCUCCCUCUUUUUAGUCUUCUAGCAUGUACUUUAUUAGAAGUAACUAUUUUUGCCCAUAACAUUUUGCAGUCUGAUUAUCUGUUACUUUGUUGAUGUGACAAUAAUUCUUUUCUAUUUAUAAUCCCUCGUUCUAGCAAUGCACAAUAACGCCAGCUUUGUCCUCCCAUUACUUUUUACUCUUCUCCAGCAGAGCUGAUAGAUCCAUUUGUAAUGCAGCUGCUGGACCUUGGACCUUGGCUACCCAUGCUGCAUUCCAGACUGCCUUUCCUAUCCUGUCCCCGUACAUUGAUAUAUCUCAUACAAAUAGUUUGUGACUGAGCUGUUUAAACGUUCUUCUCUUGGUUUUUCUUUUGCAAGCCGGGUUUAAUUGCUGUUAAACAAACUGAUGUUUCUUCACUAGCAUUUCUAAAACACUCCCCAGGUAUUUUCUUCCAUCUCUAUCUGUGUGUGUUUUUGUUUGUUUGUUUACUUGUUUCUGCCUACCUCUUCCCUGGAUUUCAUUGCGUUUAGCAGCUUCCCCCUGCAAUCCCUUCUCUGCCAAUGUGGAGGUGUGGGCUUGCACCCCUCUUGCUGUGCUGUGCAGGAGUGCAAGGGCGUGUAGGAAGGGAGGAGCAGUGGGUUGGUUUUUCCUUCUGCUGAAGCUGUUUCACUUUGGUCCUGGUGACCAAGUGCUUCCAUAAACCAGCUUGGUGAGCACAGUAUUCACACCACUUGAUUUAGCAGGGGAUCCGAAAUUUCCAUUUUUAGAGGACGGGGAAACCAUUAAUGGCCACAUGCCUGUGGAUGCCAUGGGUACCAUUGCUGCAACAGGGCUGCAGCACACUGCUUCGACCUGCACAUGAAUCCUGAGGGCUGUGGAGCGAGUCAGUGCCACCAUGUGGACACAGGAGCGUGACCCAUGUGGCUCAGACCUAUCCUACGUUGGUGGAAACUGCCCCAAAAAUACAGCAGAUUUAGCUGUCUUACUGGCAACUGGUAAAAGAACAAUAAAAGGGGUUGCUUGGAAAUCA